AUCGAUCAACCUCUCCAUUGCCGAGUGGUUCCGCUACUAGACAUCCCCCGGACUCUCCCACUGGGGGGUGUGACCAUGACUCUGUGCCUGGUCUGAGGAUGCCCUCCGUCGUCACUCCUUAUAACCUGUUACCCACUCUCGGACUAGGUCGGUAGGGCGCACGUCCUUCUGCCGGGAUACCCAACAUUUGACGAAAACAUACCCUUAUUUGGUGGAAUGCACAUCCCACAACUUCCAUGGUAUGCUUAUUCGUGGCCGAUUGAGGCACGGUCGUCGGCGCCAUUAUGCCUCCCACGUUCGCAAUAGGCCUAAGUAACCCAAAUUUCCCAGGCGUCCGCCCGAACAUUCAGUCCCCACUUUCGGCCGUCGAAUUGACAGCUUGACGGAAACUAUGACGUUCAGAACUCACUCUAACUUCAUCGACCUUACACAUCACAUCGCCACUUUACGAAUCUAUAAUGUGCCUUGUGGCUAUCGCUUCCGUCCAAUGAUUCAGAAUUGACUGCGACUCCCUGCUUUCGCACCCCUCGCUUGUCCUAAUCUAUGGGACCAUCAGGUGCGGCAUUUGCUACCUAUGACAGACAACCCCGUAUUCGAAGUCACCUAUUCGCUUUCACUAUUCAUAGGGUG
rnacentral:rRNA from 1 species